AAAGUUUGCUCUGGGCAGCAGAACUGGCUGAGGCGAACCAGACAGAAACUGGAAUCAGUUCUAAGAGAACUGGUCUUGUCUUCCGCCUUAGACGACAAGCUGAUGAAAGUCCGAAUCCGGCUUUCAGACUUCAGAAGGGCAGCCUUCCACAUCACUGGCUGUGAGGGUACAGAAAUGCCCUCCACCGCAGCAGGAGACCCCUGAGUAGCCGCGAGACCAGGAGAGCCUCGAAGUCGGGGCGCGGGCUUGCACUGGAGGGGCAGAGAUCGGGCGUUAUGGAAUGAUGGAGUUCUGGGAUCGCAGGCGCAGCUGGGCCACUCCCUCGGCAGGCUCCUGGAGCGCCACCCUGCCGAGUUUAUUUUGGUCGUCUGUUUUGAAUUUGCAGUGCUCCCUCUGUAGGAGGGUAUUUUGAGGUGCUCUGGCAAGCCGCAAGGGCUCCAAGUAGCUUUUGUUUCUGUACUCACACAGAUGAGGAGCUGAACUAAUUGAGAGAGUGACCCAAAUUUGUGAGUUUCACAAAGUAUCCCAUUUGGCCUGGAUUCCUGUAGCUUUGGAAUGCGCCUGCAUGCUCGUCCAUUUGCAAGUCUUUUCUGGAGCCCUUUGGAAAACAUCCCCAGCCACACAGAAAUCAGCAGAUAAGUGACCUUUUUCUCCAGCCAAGAAUAUGAAUGACCAUUGCUUCUGCAAGAAAGGAGACUCUUGGUCUGAUCCAGGACUUCAUAAUAGUGGAGGACUUAAAACUGUGGCUUUGGUUCUGAUUCUAUUUGGCUCACUAAACAAUUGAAACUAAAAAUGAAAAUUGAGGGCCAGGGAGGCUGGGAUCAAAGUCAACAUGCUAUAAGAACAAAAAAGCUGGAAACAGAACCAGAAAUGCUUAGGCCCAACAUGGAGAGUAGAACUCUGUUCCACAAGAGAGUUGAAAUGGAGUGAUGGAGUCAACAGUACCACGCAAGGGAGUUGUCAUGGAAACAGUCAUUUGAGAGCAGGCAAUUGGAUUUUGGAAACUGAUUAAAGCAAGUCUUGAUGGUAAAAAAAAAAAAAAAGAAAGAAAGAAAAAAGAUGAAGUCAGACAGUGAAGACGGAGUGGAGUUCCGUGCCCAUUGUGGAGACGAGAGGACACAUCAUUAUUACAAGACAGAACACGACAGACUUGAGAGGCUGAUCUGUCCAGCCAGGAUGCCUAGGAGUAAACGUUCCAGAAUUUGCCUUUUGUGGCAUCAUAGCACUCAUGACUCAGCCUGCAGAACAAUGUGAUAGGUGGGCAGACUCUCCUCAGAAAUAUUUCCAAGGAGAAUAGGUAGUGUGUCCACAUCUUUUUUUUUUUAGCAGAAAUUAUUUCCACUUAAAUAUUGAGAGGAGAGGCCAGUAAAACCAAACAUUGUUGCUGUGCUAUUUUGGUUUGAUUUCCGUGGUCCACUUUGAAUGUGGACAUGGGGGCUGUGCGGGCUCCAUAAUGGCUGAUUUCCCGGCCCUGUGCCUGAAACACAGCCUGGCAUUAAGUGAUUACAUGGACUUGUAACACUGCGCACAGUAGUGCAUGUGGAUCGGCUUCCCAUCAAUCAAUCACAGACCCUUAAAGAAGGGUCUGUGCUCUGGGAGUGCACAUGUGGCUAUGAAAGUUUUCCAAAGAGGAAAAGCAGAGAGUGAGCCAGAGGAAAGAAAGGAUUCUUUCAGCCUCGCAGAGGCGCUCUGAGGGGAAGGUGGAUGGGGCAUAGGUGUGAGAGGGUCAGCCUCCCUGAAGUACGAGGGAGAGCUUCAGCAGUAAACAAACCCCUUAAAAAUGCUGCGAGUGAGGAGAGGGAAGUGACCACAGUUCAGUGUGUCACAGGCCACGGGCGGACAAUGUCAGGAAUCUGGAGGUCUGCCACUGAUUGCUUUAGACCAGCGUCAAGCUUACAUGACGCAGCACGUGCGCUUGUGACCUCGCAUCUCAGGGAGCCGGUACAAGGACCGGGGGUGAAGCUAUAGAACGGAGAAGCGCUUCAGCAAGUUGAAAUGGCAUUUACUGGCUUAAUGCGCUGGCAAGCUGGCUACAAGGAGGGGCACAUGCUGGCGUGUCAAAUUCAGACUGGAAGUAAAAGAGAAGAGGUUAAAGAGCUGAGACAAUGAGGCAAAACCAGGGUGGGUCCCACACUUCGAUUACACCUCAACCAGGAAUAUGGGAUAAGCCUUUAGUGGCUGGCGUUGGUUGGGGCUGAAGGUGAGCGAAGAACUGCAGUUCCCAGGCAGUAGCGAGUGUCGGAGCUUUCCAGCAGGCGGCCCAGCUUACAGCACCACCUCAGGGGGCAGGGGUCAAAGGCUGAGAGCUGGCCAGCCAGGGGAACUUCGGAAAGGCCCUGUGUCUCGGCCAAGCGGGCUAUGUUCCGCCACUAGGAUCUACUUCUUGAAAAGAUUCAAAAUCCACCUCAGGAUCAGAAGCACGGACAGCUUUGGAGGGCUGGCGAGGCCGCCGGCAGGCCGUGUCCAGCUUAAGCUCAUUUCCUAGUCACCGUGUACCUGACUUGGUAAACUGGCAAUAUUUCCAGCAGAAAUUACUGAGCGCCAGGAUUGCCAGUCUCAGGUGUGCGUUGAUUUGCACCGCUGACCACAUGCCUGGCGGAAGGCGCCGGAGGGAAGGCUGGCCUCAGGGCUGCAGCCCAGCGCGCGGAGAGCAGAGGGCGGCAGCCCGGAUCACCGUGGCGGCCCCACCUCGGAACGCCCCGCGGCCCCGGGACAGCGCCACCUGCUGGAGUCCCGAGAGCCUGAACCUGGCGGGACCGGAACAGAGGAGCUAGAAACACAGGCCCCUGAGGGCUGCGUUUUAAACCCGGGGCGGCUUACAGAUACGACCUGUUGAUUUAUGAAAUUUAAAGUAAUAAUUAACAAGCGAAUUUGGGAGCGCAGACGGGGCGUGGCGGGACAGCAGGGGUCUGGGUGCUGGCGCGGCCCAGCAGGCCGCUCCCGGAGGCCCGCCGGCCCGCAGGCCCGGAAGCAGCAGCCCUGCCCUCAGCCGCAGGAACAAUGAGCUGUCUGUCUCCUCCUCUACCUCCAGCUCUCCCCGGGGGCUUCUCGCUGGCAGAAUCUAGGCGGGAACUCUGGCAGGGUUUCUGGGAAAUUUCGUUUCCAGAUGUUGCAGCCCGCGUGAGUCAGAGGGGACACGUGGCCGCGGGGCCUCAGUGAAAGGCAUCAAUUAUAGGGUGAUGUCGGGGAAGGUGAGGGCCAGAGCGGGAAGGGAGCUGGAUGAGGCUGCGCGUGGUCGGAAGGGGUGUGGGGAAGCCAAGUCUGAGGGGUUUGUAGCUGUAGCACAUGUGGGGGCAACACUGGCUCCUGUGGAUGGAGGGACUGGCAGACAGGCAGAGUGACUGGAAUGUUACAGCCUCUGAGUGUGCCAGGAGCCUCUUCGUUUUAAAACUCUCAGUCAGACACACCUAGAAAAUGAAAGUACCACGGAUGGGGCAAAGACAAUCUGAAGAAAGAGCUAUAGCACGCCGUCCCUCUUGGGCUGAUAGUGUUCUGUGACUCAAGCAUUCUCCCAGACUAGGAAAAUGAAAACAGAAUCUGGACAAGUGUGUUAGAAUUACACUUACAAGGCAGAGCUGUGGGAGGGGUUAAACAGGAAGUAGACGGGGCUUGAAGUGACUGGCAGGCAGAAGGCUGGAGCAAGCAGGCCUCCACAACCUGUCACGUGGGCAACCUUGUGAGCUGGCCACAUGAACUGAGACACAGGCAGAACAAGCCGGAGCGUGAGCGUGUUCUGGAUGCGUUCAGUGUUAGGACGUCAGGGAUGAAGAUGAAGGUGAGGGUGGUGGUCCCUGUCCCUGCUGACCCCAGGUGGCCUUCACACGCCAAGGGAACUAAGAACACGUGUGAGUUUGCAGCCGCCGAUAGGACCAACAUCUCGAAAAAGCGUUUCCCGUCUUAUUCCCCAACAGAGCUGGAUGCCUGAAAUCCGACUGCUAGCUUUUAGUUAGCGUUCUCAGACUUCGGUGCAGCCUGCCCGCCUGCAGGGUGACUAAGCCCGUGACUUUUUACCCUCAAGACCAACAGGGCGCUUACCCACAGCAGCGCCGCCGCUCUGUGCUCAGAGCCCACGUGCCUUUCCCUGUGGAGAUGUCAACCAAUAUCACCCCAGAUGGGGUGCCAGUGAUAGCCUGACAAACCAAGGGAUUUGUUAGGGUUCCAUACAGAAUCAUGGGCAAGGGUGGCUUGAAAGAAAACGAGCGGCUUACCAGCAGCCGCUGUAUCCCCAAAACGACCUACCAGAGCUGCAUCCGUGGACUGCCUGCCCCACUCAGUCUCAUCUUCCCCAGCAGCUGCUUAUUGCUCACACAACCUGGAACAGGGCCUGCUGAUGCAGACUUCUGCUGUCCACCCGACAGAGCCCGGAGUCCUCUCGGGGAGACACCACUGGGGACAGAUCAGAUUGGCCGGUGGCCAUGCCUGUGAGGAAGCUUGACUGUGGAUUGCUGUGAAUUGCUGUCAGAGGGCACAGUCCCCUGAGGGCGGUGACAUUCUCUGGCAGAUGGUCCUGGUCUGUAUAAGAUAGUGCUGAGAACGAGGAAGAGGUUACCCUGGCCUUCAGUGCUCCUCCCUGCAGUGGUUUUUGCUCUAGAUUCCUGCCUCAAGUUCCUGCACUGACUUCCUUCUACCUGAACAAGGAAGUUGAGGCAAACACUUCCCUCCCCCGAGCUGCUUUUGGUCAUGGCAUUUAUUACAGCAACAUAAUGGAAAUGAGAGCAGGGCCAAGUCUCUGCGUCCUGCUGGGCUUCCAGGGCCUGCUAAGGCUCAUGGGUUUGUUGUGCCUUGCAGGUUUUGCUGGGAGUCUUAAGAGCCCCUGUCCUCCCUCACGGCUACAGGAGGGCAUGUUUCAGUUCUGAGGAAAGAGCCACACAAUAGACCAUAGUGCCCACGAGGAAUCCAGCUAGAAGAAUCACUGGGUCCCACAUGCAGAGCUGAUGGUCAGAGAGACUCAAGCUAUCCAAGAAUCUGGAGAACUUGCUAUGACUUACGUCUUAGAAGAUGUAGGCUCCCUUACUGCUUUAUCGUUUUUUUCUUUUAUUUAACAACUUGAUUGUUGAAACCUCAGGAAACUCUAAGCCUAUUUCUUCCAUCAAAAUGAAAGGAACUCAUUGAUGAAAUCAGGAACCCAUUAAGAUUGAGUGGUACAUUUCCAUUAAGCCAUGAUUUACAUUAUAGAACAGUUUAAAAAAAAUGGAAGCACUCUCUUGGAGAGGAAAUGUAUAAUAAAGACUCUUUUAGGGCUCUCUGAACUAAGACAGACUAAUAUUCCUCCAAGCACAGAGAAAACAAGGGACAGGGAAAGUUAUUGACUGAGCCAAGCAGGACUGAAUACCUGCAGCCGGAGAACGGGUGACUCAUCACUUAGAUCUGUGUAGACAGCUGAAGCCAGAGAACAUCAGAGAGACACUUCUAUAAAGGACCCUGACGGGGCAAGGGCUCACGCUGCUGGGUGGCUGCAGAGGCCGGCACCCAAGUACAUGUGGGCCAUUAUCGCCACGUUAAUGGAGUUGCUGAGAAGCCCAGCUAAAAGCCUGCCUCUGAGUGGAUGAAAAUGUUGCUCAUCUCAACCUUUCCCAAAACGUUUGAGAAAACAGUCCUGUGAGAAGAACUAUACCAUGCAGCUUCCAGGAAUGAUCAAAGAAUGCUGAAGUAAAUCCUGAAUCAGUAGUGCACAGAGAUCAGGGGGAUGCUGGGGGCAUCGCCUCCUCUUGUUGGUGCAUUAUUUACUUAGACAAGAAUCAAGACCUUUGGCCAACAAAGGUUGCAUUAAAGGACUGGAACACCUCAGGAAUUAUGUUUGAGGAAACAGGACAGAGAAAUGAGCAAGAAAAUGAUCAGCACUCAUUUCCCCCAAAGGGGUCACUAAUGUAGGAGAGGCAGGAAUCAGUGGUGCCGUUCCUUCCCAAUUUCCCACUCAGUGACUUCAUAGGAGGUUGAAACUGGCCACAGAGGGAAUGUUUACACUGUCAAAACUGACAGAUGUCACAAAUCUGGGUGGCCUUUUGGUUUUGCUUUUGUUAUUUUUUUUCCCUAGAAAGUAUAUUAUUAAAUAUUUAUCAGUA